rnacentral:lncRNA from 1 species
AUGCACAUGUGCAAUCAAAGAGUUAAGGAAACAGUAUUCCAAGCAGACCUAAAUAAACAAACAGAUACUAAGGCAGAGGCAGAGAGUUUAGGCUUGUUUAACAAAAAUGAAAACCUGCCAGACAGCAUAUUGAGGUGCCUUGCCCAGUUUUUUUGCAGAGUUCAUUUAUUACUGGUGAAAUAA